UACGUAGGGUGCAAGCGUUGUCCGGAAUUAUUGGGCGUAAAGAGCUCGUAGGCGGUCUGUCGCGUCUGCUGUGAAAACUCGGGGCUUAACCCCGGGCCUGCAGUGGGUACGGGCAGACUAGAGUGCGGUAGGGGAGACUGGAAUUCCUGGUGUAGCGGUGAAAUGCGCAGAUAUCAGGAGGAACACCGGUGGCGAAGGCGGGUCUCUGGGCCGUAACUGACGCUGAGGCGCGAAAGCCAGGGGAGCAAACGGG
rnacentral:rRNA from 1 species